rnacentral:lncRNA from 1 species
GUGUGUUGUUUAUGGCCUGGUCUGGGUUCAUUGAUGAGUACUGUAAUAAGCUUAGUGGUUACGAUUAUACAAUGACCUCAUCUAAAAACCUAAUAGACAAAUUUUUGGAAGUAGAACCACUCCUUGAACAGGUAAUGCAAGUCUUCGAUUUUAAAACACUUUAUCCUUCCAUAAGGCUCGAACCGGCAUGCCUCCUUUUGUAUAGAUUCCUGUUACACAACAUACCAGAAAAGCAAUGUAAUCCAGAGUUAGAGAUAUCUGUCACAUAAUAGUACACCAAUCGUAUUUUAUAUAUAAAAAUAAUAUUUGCAAACAACUGGCGUACUGAUAGGUUGCCCUGUGGCAGGAUUAUAGCUGAAAUAGUGGUCCGCUAUAAAGAGAGUGAUAUAAUACCAAACUUAGGAGGUAAUACUAUACUAUAUAAAAGAUGCAUCAACGAUAUACUGGUCAUAACCAAGAAACCAAAUCACUGACUUGGAUUAGAAGAGAAACUCAUAAUAGUAACCCUGGAGUAAAAUUAAUUAAGCAAAAAGAGAGUGAGGAAGAAAUGAACUAUCUUGAUAUAAAAAUAAAAAUAGUUAAAGGAGAGUAUAAUUUGAGCAUUUUCAGAAAAGA